rnacentral:rRNA from 1 species
GACGAACGCUGGCGGCGUGCUUAACACAUGCAAGUCGAACGAAGUGGCGAACGGGUGAGUAACGCGUAAUCAACCUGCCCUUCAGAGGGGGACAACAGUUGGAAACGACGGCUAAUACCGCAUACUGAAGGAGGGGAUUGCGUCUGAUGUGCUAGUUGGAGGGGUAACGGCCCACUAAGGCGAUGAUCAGUAGCCGGUCUGGGAGUAUGAACGGCCACAGUGGGAGUGAGACACGGCCCAGCAUCCUCAGGGGGGCAUCAGUGGGGAAUCUUCCGUGAUGGGCGAAAGUCUGGCGGAGCAACGCUGCGUGAGUGAUGACGGCCUUCGGUUUGUAAAGCGCUUUUAAUCGGGACGCGGUACCGGAAUAGAACGCCCCGGCUAACUACGUGCCUGCAGCCGCGGUAAUUC